AUCAGAAGCAGCAGCUAUGGCUGGACAGGACCUUACAAAUUAUCCAUUGCAGUCAUUUCAUUCCACAGAUGAGGAAACUGACGUUUGGAGAAGUUAAGGUUCAAAGUCACAACGGCCAACAAAAACCAAACCAGCCCAUCAGGUGGCUUCAACUCAGCAGUGAACGGCUUAAAACCUGAGGGACAGGAACCAUCCUCCUUCAACUGCAGCCCCUUUCUUUCGCCAGCUGAGGAAUCCGCGUAAUAAUUGGCCCAUUCAUUCUCUCCAGUCAUCACUCCUGACCUCUCCAAAGCAUUGUCUCCACUCCCUGCCCUCCGUGAAGAAGGAUAUAGAAGCACCUGCACCCCACUGGGUCACUGGGUGGCCGCUCUCCCGUGAUCUCCACCCCAGGCAUGGGAAGAGAGAUACUGGGACAAAACACAGAAGCGCUCCGGCUGGUGGAUCUAGUUUGUACGGACUGAUACAAUGGCUACUAGAAUUUGCUGGGUAAAAGAAAUGCAGUGGUGGGAGACACACUGGAAGAAUGGAGGAAAAACAAAAUCACCCGAGUAUGACGGUCUCCAGAAGUAAGGUAAGUGGAAUGGUGAAUUUCCUGAGCACGGUGAACAUCGGCAGGCUGCCAGGAAAAGAGUGAAGCAUAUCAGACACCAAGGGUUGGUUGAUUGGUUUUUUCUUUUACAUGUUUUACAUUUUUAAUUAAGCUUACUAAUUUUCCAAAUUAAUAUUCACAUUUACCAUUAACAAAUCACAUUAAAUAAUAACAAUAAAUGGAGAUUAAAA